rnacentral:rRNA from 1 species
AUGGCUCACAACGAACGCUGGCGGCGCGUCUAAGCAUGCAAGUCGAACGGCAAGAGGUAGCAAUACCUCCCAGAGUGGCGGACUGGUGAGUAACACGUGGGUGACAUACCCUUCAGAUGGGGAUAGCUAUUAGAAAUAGUAGAUAAUACCGAAUACGAGCACGAGGGGUUAGAGAUCUGUGAGGAAAGGAGCUAAGGCUCCGCUGAAGGAAUGGCCUGCGGCCCAUUAGCUAGUUGGUGAGGUAAGAGCCCACCAAGGCGAUGAUGGGUAUCCGGCCUUAGAGGGUGAACGGACACAUUGGGACUGAGAUACGGCCCAGACUCCUACGGGAGGCAGCAGCUAAGAAUAUUCCGCAAUGGACGAAAGUCUGACGGAGCGACACCGCGUGGAUGAAGAAGGCCGGAAGGUUGUAAAAAUCCUUUUGAAACUGAAGAAUAAGCGUUGUAGGGAAUGACAGCGUGGUGACAGUAGGUUUUGAAUAAGCAACGGCUAAUUACGUGCCAGCCGCCGC